UCCUACUCACUCCCCACUCUCAAUAGCACUAUGUGAAGACAAUCUACGUGUUGGGAGAAGCAAUGUGAUCUACCAAGCUAGGACUGAUUAAGAGGAGCCCUAGCAGGGUUUCACAUUUUAGAGGACUCCACUCUGGACUUAUUGGGCACCAAUCCUGAAGAGUUUGAAGGUCCAAAAGCUAUGAGGUUCUGAUCAUGGACCAGAACCACUAAAACUGAAGAUGAUCUCUACAGAACACAUCAAAACAAUUUUUUCCUGCCUUCAGUACAGACCUGACCAGCAGGGAGAAUGGCAAGAAAUCAGCAAGUAGAAGAGAGUUGGGAUACUUACUCUCUUUCUUUUUGGCCAUCUGUGUUUUUUGGUAGAGGUUGUGCUUUUUUGUUUACAACCAUAGCAAUGUCAUGUAGGUUCUCACACAACUGAAUUACUACUGAAUUCCAGAAACCUGGCUUCCUUCAGUUACCCUGAAGAUUUAAGUGAGACUGCAGGUCUGAUCUUGUGGAACUCAUCCUUCUUUGGAACAACAUCUCUUCUGCAUUAGCAGCCCUUUAAAUAGGCAUAACUGUUCACACUACCUGAUCACUGGUGUCCAUCAGUAAAUUCCUACGCUCACCGUCACCUUCUAAGAGAACGACAGGAGAGAGAGGAGACAGUACACUUCUCUCUUCCUAGGUCCACUGAAAUAAACCACAGAUCUUCAAGAAGAACUACCACAGAAAUCCAGCACAGUAAGGCUCGGAGUCAAACUGGAACCUCAUCUGGAUCCAUGUCCCCAAUUUAUCUGACGAAUAAAAAAAGACAAAAACCAGGGCCAAGUGUGGUGGCAUACACCUAU